AUUGAACGCUGGCGGCAGGCCUAACACAUGCAAGUCGAGCGGAUGAAGGGAGCUUGCUCCUGGAUUCAGCGGCGGACGGGUGAGUAAUGCCUAGGAAUCUGCCUGGUAGUGGGGGAUAACGUCCGGAAACGGGCGCUAAUACCGCAUACGUCCUGAGGGAGAAAGUGGGGGAUCUUCGGACCUCACGCUAUCAGAUGAGCCUAGGUCGGAUUAGCUAGUUGGUGGGGUAAAGGCCUACCAAGGCGACGAUCCGUAACUGGUCUGAGAGGAUGAUCAGUCACACUGGAACUGAGACACGGUCCAGACUCCUACGGGAGGCAGCAGUGGGGAAUAUUGGACAAUGGGCGAAAGCCUGAUCCAGCCAUGCCGCGUGUGUAAAGAAGGUCUUCGGAUUGUAAAGCACUUUAAGUUGGGAGGAAGGGCAGUAAGUUAAUACCUUGCUGUUUUGACGUUACCAACGGAAUAAGCACCGGCUAACUUCGUG
rnacentral:rRNA from 1 species